CCCUUAGAUAUCCUGGGCUGCACGCGCGCUACAAUGGAUAUAAGAAAAAGUAUGCUAAUGUUAUUGUAGUUUUACACUAUAAUAUGGUCCUGAUUUGAAAAGAUUGGGUAAUCUUAUUGAACUAUAUCCUUGCUUGGGAUAGACACUUGUAAUUAUUUGUCUUGAACGAGGAAUUCCCAGUAAACGCAAAUCAUCAGUUUGCAUUGAUUACGUCCCUGCCCUUUGUACACACCGCCCGUCGCUCCUACCGAUUGAGUGGUCCGGUGAGGCUUUGGGAUCUGAGCGGAAAGAGCGUUUCGCUGUUUCUGCUCGGAAAACUCAGUCGAACCUUAUCAUUUAGAGGAAGGAGAAGUCGUAACA
rnacentral:rRNA from 1 species